GUGGGGAAUCUUAGACAAUGGGCGCAAGCCUGAUCUAGCCAUGCCGCGUGAGUGAUGAAGGCCCUAGGGUUGUAAAGCUCUUUCAGCUGGGAAGAUAAUGACGGUACCAGCAGAAGAAGCCCCGGCUAACUCCGUGCCAGCAGCCGCGGUAAUACGGAGGGGGCUAGCGUUGUUCGGAAUUACUGGGCGUAAAGCGCGCGUAGGCGGACUGAAAAGUUGGGGGUGAAAUCCCGGGGCUCAACCUCGGAACUGCCUUCAAAACUAUCAGUCUGGAGUUCGAGGGAGGUGAGUGGAAUUCCGAGUGUAGAGGUGAAAUUCGUAGAUAUUCGGAGGAACACCAGUGGCGAAGGCGGCUCACUGGCUCGAUACUGACGCUGAGGUGCGAAAGCGUGGGGAGCAAACAGGAUUAGAAACCCUGGUAGUCC
rnacentral:rRNA from 1 species